UGACUUGGGGCAUCUAUAGGAAGGCUCUAAUCAGUUAAAAUACAUAGAAAUACAAAAAAAUGACCUGGCGGGUCGUUACAUCUAAUUUAUGAAAGCUUUAUUGUUACAGCUUUGAAUUUAUUGAAUUUUAUCAUAAAUCUUGAAUAUUUCACUUUACUCUAUGGGUCUUCUACUUCUUCCAAGAAAACACUCCAGAUAGAAAAGAGCCGAUGUGGAGAAUAAAUUAUUGGAGACAGUUGAAGAAGUCGGGUGAGCGCUUCGAGCUUCCAAUGCCAAGUGAACAAAAGCUCAAGUAAGUAAGUAGGUGAAAGAUAAUUCGUUAUCCUUGGUUCAAAGUGAAAUUCCUCCAAUUUGAAGGUGAUGACAGAGCCUCCAACAUGGAGGAGGAGAUGGACAAGCAAUUCAGUGGGAAUUCAAGAAACAUCUAUAUUGGAUGAAUUGUUUCCUCUUCAUAGAUUAUAUGUCUUCUCAGCUAAUGUGCUUUUAAUAUUCACGCAUUGAGGAGUGUGCCUAUAAUGUUUUUGUCCAUUUAGGAUCUAAGGUUUGUUUAGACCUUCCAUAAUAGAUUUUGAAAUUUAUAACAAUGUUGAGAUUGUCUAUUUGGUUUUCUUAGUUCUGUAAUAUAUGUAUAUACCAGUAAGCAUAAUGUUGUAAUGGACCAUUGUUUGGGUGCCUGAAUUA